rnacentral:rRNA from 1 species
UACAGAGGGUGCGAGCGUUAAUCGGAAUUACUGGGCGUAAAGCGCGCGUAGGCGGCUUUGCAAGUCGGGUGUGAAAUCCCCAGGCUUAACCUGGGAACUGCAUUCGAGACUGCAUUGCUAGAGUAUGGGAGAGGGAAGUGGAAUUUCCGGUGUAGCGGUGAAAUGCGUAGAUAUCGGAAGGAACAUCAGUGGCGAAAGCGACUUCCUGGACCAAUACUGACGCUCAUGUGCGAAAGCGUGGGGAGCAAACAGGAUUGAGAA